GACGAACGCUGGCGGCGCGCUUAACACAUGCAAGUCGAACGGAAAGGCCUGCUUUCCCUUGUGGAUUGCGGGUACUCGAGUGGCGAACGGGUGAGUAACACGUGAGUGAUCUGCCCCCAACUUGGGUAUAAGCCUGGGAAACUGGGUCUAAUUCCCGAUAAGACUGCAGGGUGGUGCCUGUGGUGGAAAACGAUUUUCUAGUGGUUGGGGAUGAGCUCGCGGCCUAUCAGCUUGUUGGUGGGGUAAUGGCCUACCAAGGCGGCGACGGGUAGCCGGCCUGGGAGGGUGGACGGCCACAUUGGGACGGAGAUACGGCCCAGAAGCCUACGGGAGGCAGCAGUGGGGAAUAUGACACAAUGGGCGGAAGCCUGAUGCAGCGACGCCGCGUGGGGGAUGACGGCCUUCGGGUUGUAAACUCCUUGCGACCGCGAGGAAGCCACCUGGUUGGAAGGGUGGUGACGGUAGUGGUAGAAGAAGCACCGGCUAACUACGUG
rnacentral:rRNA from 1 species